GGAAGGUAGCCGGAUACGGCUUGCCGGGCCUGUUUGCUAAACAGUGCGACUCGAAAGGGUCUUGUGGGUUCGAAUCCCAUGCCUUCCG
rnacentral:tRNA from 1 species